rnacentral:rRNA from 1 species
UACGGAGGGUGCAAGCGUUAUCCGGAUUCACUGGGUUUAAAGGGUGCGUAGGUGGGCAGGUAAGUCAGUGGUGAAAUCUCCGGGCUUAACCCGGAAACUGCCAUUGAUACUAUCAGUCUUGAAUACCGUGGAGGUAAGCGGAAUAUGUCAUGUAGCGGUGAAAUGCUUAGAUAUGACAUAGAACACCAACUGCGAAGGCAGCUUACUACCCGAAUAUUGACACUGAGGCACGAAAGCGUGGGGAUCAAACAGG